UACGUAGGGGGCAAGCGUUGUCCGGAUUUAUUGGGCGUAAAGAGCGUGUAGGCGGCUAGGUAGGUCCGUUGUGAAAACUGGAGGCUUAACCUCCAGCUGUCGAUGGAAACCAUCUGGCUAGAGUCCGGAAGAGGAGAGUGGAAUUCCUGGUGUAGCGGUGAAAUGCGCAGAUAUCAGGAAGAACACCCGUGGCGAAGGCGGCUCUCUGGGACGGUACUGACGCUGAGGCACGAAAGCGUGGGGAGCAAACAGG
rnacentral:rRNA from 1 species